rnacentral:rRNA from 1 species
UACAGAGGGUGCAAGCGUUAAUCGGAAUUACUGGGCGUAAAGCGUGCGCAGGCGGCUUUGCAAGACAGAUGUGAAAUCCCCGGGCUCAACCUGGGAAUUGCGCUUGUGACUGCAAAGCUGGAGUGCGGCAGAGGGGGAUGGAAUUCCGCGUGUAGCAGUGAAAUGCGUAGAUAUGCGGAGGAACACCGAUGGCGAAGGCAAUCCCCUGGGCCUGCACUGACGCUCAUGCACGAAAGCGUGGGGAGCAAACAGG